UACGUAGGCCGCAAGCGUUGUUCGGAAUUACUGGGCGUAAAGAGUGUGUAGGCGGUGCUCCAAGUCUGGUGUGAAAUCUCCCGGCUCAACUGGGAGGGUGCGCUAGAAACUGGAAUGCUAGAGGAUGGGAGAGGUAAGCGGAAUUCCUGGUGUAGCGGUGAAAUGCGUAGAUAUCAGGAGGAACACCUGUGGUGAAGACAGCUUUCUGGACCAUUUCUGACGCUGAGACACGAAAGCGUGGGUAGCAAACAGG
rnacentral:rRNA from 1 species